UAAAGGCUGAGCUGUGAUGGCGAGCGAAAUUUAGUAGCGAAGUUCCUGAUUCCACACUGCCAAGAAAAGCCUCUAGCGAGGUGAGAGGUGCCCGUACCGCAAACCGACACAGGUAGGCGAGGAGAGAAUCCUAAGGUGAUCGAGAGAACUCUCGUUAAGGAACUCGGCAAAAUGACCCCGUAACUUCGGGAGAAGGGGUGCUUCUUAGGGUGUUAAAGCCCCGAGAAGCCGCAGUGAAUAGGCCCAGGCGACUGUUUAGCAAAAACACAGGUCUCUGCGAAGCCGUAAGGCGAAGUAUAGGGGCUGACGCCUGCCCGGUGCUGGAAGGUUAAGAGGAGCGCUUAGCGUAAGCGAAGGUGCGAAUUGAAGCCCCAGUAAACGGCGGCCGUAACUAUAACGGUCCUAAGGUAGCGAAAUUCCUUGUCGGGUAAGUUCCGACCCGCACGAAAGGCGCAACGAUCUGGGCACUGUCUCAACGAGAGACUCGGUGAAAUUAUAGUACCUGUGAAGAUGCAGGUUACCCGCGACAGGACGGAAAGACCCCGUGGAGCUUUACUGCAGCCUGAUAUUGAAUGUUGGUACAGCUUGUACAGGAUAGGUAGGAGCCUUGGAAACCGGAGCGCUAGCUUCGGUGGAGGCAUCGGUGGGAUACUACCCUGGCUGUAUUGACCUUCUAACCCGCUGCCCUUAUCGGGCAGGGAGACAGUGUCAGGUGGGCAGUUUGACUGGGGCGGUCGCCUCCUAAAAUGUAACGGAGGCGCCCAAAGGUUCCCUCAGAAUGGUUGGAAAUCAUUCGCAGAGUGUAAAGGCACAAGGGAGCUUGACUGCGAGACCUACAAGUCGAGCAGGGACGAAAGUCGGGCUUAGUGAUCCGGUGGUUCCGCAUGGAAGGGCCAUCGCUCAACGGAUAAAAGCUACCCCGGGGAUAACAGGCUUAUCUCCCCCAAGAGUCCACAUCGACGGGGAGGUUUGGCACCUCGAUGUCGGCUCAUCGCAUCCUGGGGCUGUAGUCGGUCCCAAGGGUUGGGCUGUUCGCCCAUUAAAGCGGUACGCGAGCUGGGUUCAGAACGUCGUGAGACAGUUCGGUCCCUAUCCGUCGCGGGCGCAGGAAAUUUGAGAGGAGCUGUCCUUAGUACGAGAGGACCGGGAUGGACGCACCGCUGGUGUACCAGUUGUUCUGCCAAGGGCAUCGCUGGGUAGCUAUGUGCGGACGGGAUAAGUGCUGAAAGCAUCUAAGCAUGAAGCCCCCCUCAAGAUGAGAUUUCCCAUUCCGCAAGGAAGUAAGAUCCCUGAAAGAUGAUCAGGUUGAUAGGUCUGAGGUGGAAGCGUGGUGACACGUGGAGCUGACAGAUACUAAUAGAUCGAGGACUUAACCUAUAUUCUAAUGUGAAGCA
rnacentral:rRNA from 1 species